AUGAACGCUGGGGUGGCCCACAGUGAAGUGAAUCCAAAUACCCAUGUAGUGGACAGCCAGGGUCUGUGGCUGACACACGCAUUGGGCUCCUUUUGUCUUACUCAGCAUUCCUUCUUCCGUGUUCUCAUUGCUUAGAUCUUGACAAAUAUUAUACAUAAUCUGGGGAUGAAUGAAUUUUUCCAUGCUUGAAAGGAACACCUUUGGAAACCCCUGACCAGGGUAAAGCAAGGAUCCCAACGCACUGCGAACAGCUGGGUGACGGAGUACCGUUUACAUCUUCACAGAAGUUUUUCACCAUUUCUCCAAUCAUUCUGUGUUUUCCAGCAAGUUUCUAUAGAAGUAUGCUCCAACUCACUCCGUCGUAAGCACGGCUUCUCUCCUGAGUAUGCUAAACUCCCCAAACGCAGCAACAACACAGCGUUCCGAUCUUUGGAAUUAA
rnacentral:lncRNA from 1 species